rnacentral:rRNA from 1 species
GACAGAGGGUGCAAACGUUGUUCGGAAUUACUGGGCGUAACGCGAGUGUAGGCGGUUCGGUAAGUCGGAUGUGAAAGCCCCGGGCUCAACCCGGGAAGUGCACUCGAUACUGCCGAGCUAGAGUAUCGGAGAGGUUGGUGGAAUUCUCGGUGUAGCGGUGAAAUGCGUAGAUAUCGGAAGGAACAUCAGUGGCGAAGGCGACUUCCUGGACCAAUACUGACGCUCAGGUGCGAAAGCGUGGGGAGCAAACAGG